rnacentral:rRNA from 1 species
AGAGUUUGAUCCUGGCUCAGGAUGAACGCUGGCGGCGUGCCUAAUACAUGCAAGUCGAACGAAGUUUCGAGGAAGCUUGCUUCCAAAGAGACUUAGUGGCGAACGGGUGAGUAACACGUAGGUAACCUGCCCAUGUGUCCGGGAUAACUGCUGGAAACGGUAGCUAAAACCGGAUAGGUAUACAGAGCGCAUGCUCAGUAUAUUAAAGCGCCCAUCAAGGCGUGAACAUGGAUGGACCUGCGGCGCAUUAGCUAGUUGGUGAGGUAACGGCCCACCAAGGCAAUGAUGCGUAGCCGGCCUGAGAGGGUAAACGGCCACAUUGGGACUGAGACACGGCCCAAACUCCUACGGGAGGCAGCAGUAGGGAAUCUUCGGCAAUGGACGAAAGUCUGACCGAGCAACGCCGCGUGAGUGAAGAAGGUUUUCGGAUCGUAAAGCUCUGUUGUAAGAGAAGAACGAGUGUGAGAGUGGAAAGUUCACACUGUGACGGUAUCUUACCAGAAAGGGACGGCUAACUACGUGCCAGCAGCCGCGGUAAUACGUAGGUCCCGAGCGUUGUCCGGAUUUAUUGGGCGUAAAGCGAGCGCAGGCGGUUAGAUAAGUCUGAAGUUAAAGGCUGUGGCUCAACCAUAGUUCGCUUUGGAAACUGUCAAACUUGAGUGCAGAAGGGGAGAGUGGAAUUCCAUGUGUAGCGGUGAAAUGCGUAGAUAUAUGGAGGAACACCGGUGGCGAAAGCGGCUCUCUGGUCUGUAACUGACGCUGAGGCUCGAAAGCGUGGGGAGCGAACAGGAUUAGAUACCCUGGUAGUCCACGCCGUAAACGGUGGAUGCUGGAUGUGGGGCCCGUUCCACGGGUUCCGUGUCGGAGCUAACGCGUUAAGCAUCCCGCCUGGGGAGUACGGCCGCAAGGCUAAAACUCAAAGAAAUUGACGGGGGCCCGCACAAGCGGCGGAGCAUGCGGAUUAAUUCGAUGCAACGCGAAGAACCUUACCUGGGCUUGACAUGUUCCCGACGGUCGUAGAGAUACGGCUUCCCUUCGGGGCGGGUUCACAGGUGGUGCAUGGUCGUCGUCAGCUCGUGUCGUGAGAUGUUGGGUUAAGUCCCGCAACGAGCGCAACCCU